UACGUAGGUGGCAAGCGUUGUCCGGAAUUAUUGGGCGUAAAGCGCGCGCAGGCGGUCCCUUAAGUCUGAUGUGAAAUCCCACGGCUCAACCGUGGAAGGUCAUUGGAAACUGGGGGACUUGAGUACAGAAGAGGAAAGCGGAAUUCCAAGUGUAGCGGUGAAAUGCGUAGAGAUUUGGAGGAACACCAGUGGCGAAGGCGGCUUGCUGGGCCAUAUCUGACGCUGAGACACGAAAGCGUGGGGAGCGAACAGG
rnacentral:rRNA from 1 species